GUUAAAUAAAAUACUGUUUGGCCAAUGGCAAGCAAGGACUAGGAGUCAAAGAGGAUUCUGGGAAAUGUAGUAGAGAAGUGAUGAUCCAGGCAGGAAGUGACAUGGCAAGGAGACUCAUAUAAAAAGAAGGAGAAACAGGAAGCCUCUCUCUUUUUCCCCUCUGCUCCUGCUCCAGCGGCACAAUGUGAUCCACCGCUCCUUGGCGCUGAUUGAAGGACUGUGUGAAUUAAAAUUGGGCAUGGAGCCAAUAAGAAGAGAGAGAUCUCAAUGCCAGCACUGGGAGAAAAUCCUGAUGUUCUCUUUGAGAUGUCCGUCAUAACUGCUGAUUCAUUUCUCCCUCCUAGCUCAAAGUGUGCUGCCAGAGAAGCAGCGAAAUUGAAAGUGCGCAACAUGAAAAAACAUAAUUUGCCCUGGACAAAACUCCAAAUAUCAAAACGAAAAAAUAGAAACUGGUGGCAGGGCUGUGUACGUUUACAUUGGGCAUGGAGUCAGAAAGAGGAGUGUUCUCAAUUCCAGUACUGGUGCAAAGCAUGA
ensembl:lincRNA